rnacentral:rRNA from 1 species
UACGUAGGGUGCGAGCGUUAAUCGGAAUUACUGGGCGUAAAGUGGGCGCAGGCGGCCGCGCAAGUCGAGUGUGAAAUCCCCGAGCUUAACUUGGGAAUUGCGCUCGAAACUACGUGGCUGGAGUGUGGCAGAGGAAGGUGGAAUUCCACGUGUAGCGGUGAAAUGCGUAGAGAUGUGGAGGAACACCGAUGGCGAAGGCAGCCUUCUGGGCCAACACUGACGCUCAUGCACGAAAGCGUGGGGAGCAAACAGG